rnacentral:rRNA from 1 species
AAAAACAUGUCUUUUAGAAAUUUAAUUUAAAGUCUAGCCUGCCCACUGAAUUUUUUUAAAUGGCCGCAGUAUCCUAACUGUGCAAAGGUAGCAUAAUCAUUAGUCUUUUAAUUGAAGGCUGGAAUGAAUGGUUGGAUGAAAUAUUAACUGUUUCAUAAAAAUUUAUAAUAGAAUUUUAUUUUUUAGUCAAAAAGCUAAAAUAUUCUUAAAAGACGAGAAGACCCUAUAAAUCUUUAUAUUUAGAAAAUUACAAUUAUUUAGAUAACUUUAAUUUUACUUUUUUUAAAUAUUUUAUUGGGGUGAUAUUAAAAUUUAAUAAACUUUUAAUUUAUUUUAAACAUAAAUUAAUGAAUUAUUGAUCCAUAAAUUAUGAUUAAAAAAUUAAGUUACUUUAGGGAUAACAGCGUAAUUUUUUUAGAGAGUUCAUAUUGAUAAAAAAGAUUGCGACCUCGAUGUUGGAUUAAGAUACAGUUUUAGGUGCAGCAGCUUAAACUUAAAGUCUGUUCGACUUUUAAAUUCUUACAUGAUCU